GCGAACGCUGGCGGCAGGCUUAACACAUGCAAGUCGAGCGGGCAUCCUUGUGGUGUCAGCGGCAGACGGGUGAGUAACGCGUGGGAACGUGCCCUUCGGUUCGGAAUAACUCAGGGAAACUUGAGCUAAUACCGGAUACGUGCGAGAGCAGAAAGGUUUAUCUGCCGAAGGAUCGGCCCGCGUCUGAUUAGCUAGUUGGUGAGGUUACGGCUCACCAAGGCGACGAUCAGUAGCUGGUCUGAGAGGAUGAUCAGCCACACUGGGACUGAGACACGGCCCAGCCCCCCCGGGGGGGAGGAGGGGGGGAAUAUUGGACAAGGGGGGAACCCCGUAUCCACCAUUGCCGCGGGAGUGAUGAGGGCCUUGGGGUGGAAAAGCUCUUUCCCCCGGGAGGAUAAGGAGGGUACGGGAGAAAUAAGCCCGGCCAACCUCCGGC
rnacentral:rRNA from 1 species